rnacentral:tRNA from 1 species
GGGGUAUAGCUCAGUUGGCUAGAGCACCUGCUUUGCAAGCAGGGGGUCGUCGGUUCGAAUCCGUCUAUCUCC